rnacentral:lncRNA from 1 species
AGCUGAGGAGGUCUGAGUUAAUUGGUAGGUGUGGUUAAUGAUUAUGGCCCAUCCUACAUUGUAGUGAAGAUGUGUGGCUUAUUCUUGUUAACAAAUUGACUCUGGCUGGGACUUAAAUAUUAAAGGACCUUCUUUCUUGAUGUCUUUGGGCGACGGGACACCUUUCACUAUCAUGGGGAGUGUUGUACUCAAUCUUGGCCUGUCCGAGGCUUAACUUAUCCAUUACAACUGUAGUUACCGAGUGAGAUGGACUUUGAUGUACACAAAUGAAAUCUUACUCCUUCUCAAGGAGAUGGAUCAUCUUUUACCACGAUAGGACAGCUUAUAUUCAAUAUAUCUUUUUAAUUGUA